rnacentral:misc_RNA from 1 species
GGUGGGAGCGAGCCUGCUCGCGAUGCCAGACGGCGCGGUGUUUCAAUUGAACCGCGUCGAUGCCAUCGCGAUCAGGCCCGCUCCCACA